UGGGGAAUUUUGGACAAUGGGCGCAAGCCUGAUCCAGCCAUGCCGCGUGCGGGAAGAAGGCCUUCGGGUUGUAAACCGCUUUUGGCAGGAACGAAACGGCGAUUCCUAAUACGGGUCGUUAAUGACGGUACCUGCAGAAUAAGCACCGGCUAACUACGUGCCAGCAGCCGCGGUAAUACGUAGGGUGCAAGCGUUAAUCGGAAUUACUGGGCGUAAAGCGUACGCAGGCGGCUUUGCAAGACAGGUGUGAAAUCCCCGGGCCUAACCUGGGAACUGCAUUUGUGACUGCAUGGCUAGAGUCUGUCAGAGGGGGGUGGAAUUCCACGUGUAGCAGUGAAAUGCGUAGAGAUGUGGAAGAACACCGAUGGCGAAGGCAGCCCCCUGGGAUGAGACUGACGCUCAUGUACGAAAGCGUGGGGAGCAAACAGG
rnacentral:rRNA from 1 species